rnacentral:rRNA from 1 species
AUUGAACGCUGGCGGCAUGCCUUACACAUGCAAGUCGAACGGUAACAGGUUAAGCUGACGAGUGGCGAACGGGUGAGUAAUAUAUCGGAACGUGCCCAGUCGUGGGGGAUAACUGCUCGAAAGAGCAGCUAAUACCGCAUACGACCUGAGGGUGAAAGCGGGGGAUCGCAAGACCUCGCGCGAUUGGAGCGGCCGAUAUCAGAUUAGGUAGUUGGUGGGGUAAAAGCCUACCAAGCCAACGAUCUGUAGCUGGUCUGAGAGGACGACCAGCCACACUGGGACUGAGACACGGCCCAGACUCCUACGGGAGGCAGCAGUGGGGAAUUUUGGACAAUGGACGCAAGUCUGAUCCAGCCAUGCCGCGUGCGGGAAGAAGGCCUUCGGGUUGUAAACCGCUUUUGUCAGGGAAGAAGAGGUUCUGGUUAAUACCUGGGACUCAUGACGGUACCUGAAGAAUAAGCACCGGCUAACUACGUGCCAGCAGCCGCGGUAA